rnacentral:rRNA from 1 species
GACGAACCACACAAACGUUAUUCGGAAUUACUGGGCUUAAAGGGUGCGUAGGCGGCGCGGAAAGUUGGGUGUGAAAUCCCUCGGCUCAACCGAGGAACUGCGCCCAAAACUACCGUGCUUGAGGGAGAUAGAGGUGAGCGGAACUGAUGGUGGAGCGGUGAAAUGCGUUGAUAUCAUCAGGAACACCGGAGGCGAAGGCGGCUCACUGGGGGUCUUCUGACGCUGAGGAACGAAAGCCAGGGGAGCGAACGGG